rnacentral:rRNA from 1 species
AUUAUAUACUUAUUUAUGUUUUUUGAAGAUAAGAGAAGAUUAUUGAAUCAUCAAUAUAAGAAUAAGGAAUAGUAAUUUUAAUGAAAUUCUAUCUAAAGUAAUAGUUAAGAAGUAUCGUAAGAGAAAGUUGAAAAUAUAGAAGAAGUAGAAUUAGAAAUUCGUACCUUUUGUAUUAGGGAUAAUCAAAUUUAGCUUUUUAAAAAAGAAAUUCCCGAAAUGGGAGGAGCUAGGAGUAUAGAACUUUCAUGUUGCAUAAUGAUAAAAAAUAUUUCUUCUAGUAGUGAUAUGUUAUACGACUUCCAUAUAUCUGGUUUUUUAUGAAAAAAAUUUAAUUUUGCAAUUUUUUUUUAAAGAGGAAAUUAGUUAAAUUAUUGGGCCUGAGCUCGAUAAAAAUAGGUCUAUUAGAAUGAGUUAAUAAAGUUAUUAGAUUUAGGCUUAAAAACUGUCCAUGCUGUGUAUAACGUCAUAGUAAAUAAUAGAAAUCGAUGUAUAAAUUUAUAUAAUUCUAUGGAAGAUAGUAAGAUAUUGUUUUUACUAAAAAAAAAUAAGAAAAAAUGAUUGUAUUAGUAGAAGAUAAUGUGAAUCUAAAAUUAAGACAAGAUAAGAAUUUUAGGAUUUUAUAUAAAGGAAAGAUAUAAAAAAGGAACUCGGCAAAUAUUUUCUUUUGCCUGUUUAUCAAAAACAUGUCUGUUCGGAUUUAUGGAUAGUCUGGCCUGCCCCCUGAAGAGAUUUAAAGGGCUGCGGUACCCUGACCGUGCAAAGGUAGCAUAAUCAAUUGUUUUUUAAUUGAAGACUGGAAUGAAUGGUCCGACAAGAAGAAAGCUGUCUCUUUUAUAGAAUUUGAAUUUAACUUUUAAGUGAAAAGGCUUAAAUAAUAUAAGGGGACGACAAGACCCUAUAAAACUUUUAAACAACUGGUCUACGUUUCUUUCAAAUUAAAGCUGAGUAUUGUACUAGUGUAUUACGUAAAGAACGAGUGGGCCUAUAUUGUUCUACUGGGGCGGUAGUGAUAUAAAAAAUUAACUGUCAUGAGAAAUUUUCGUAUAAGAGCAUACAUUUGAAAUAUUUUGUAUAAACAAAAUAAACAUAAUAAAUUAAUAUAUAUAUAUAUAUAUAUAUAUAUAUAUAUAUAUAUUUAUGUUUUAUGAAAAAUAAUUAUAAUUAGUUAUAUUGAUCUUCUAUUAGGAAUUAAGAGAGUGAGUUACUUUAGGGAUAACAGCGUAAUUUCUCUUGAGAGUGCAAAUCGACAGAGUUAGUUGCGACCUCGAUGUUGAAUUAAGAAAUACGAUAAGGCGUAGAAGCUUUAUAAGUAGGUCUGUUCGACCUUUGAAAUCUUACAUGAUUUGAGUUCAAACCGGCGAGAGCCAGGUUGGUUUCUAUCUCUUAUUAAAAUAUAAGUACCUUUUUAGUACGAAAGGAUUGAGAGGUAAUAAUAAUUAUUUCAAUUAUUGAAGAAAAAUAAUAAUUCUGG